UACGUAGGGUGCAGCGUAAUCGGAAUUACUGGGCGUAAAGCGUGCGCAGACGGUUUGUAAGUCUGUCGUGAAAUCCCCGGGCUUAACCUGGGAAUUGCGAUGGAGACUGCAAGGCUAGAAUCUGGCAGAGGGGGGUAGAAUUCCACGUGUAGCAGUGAAAUGCGUAGAGAUGUGGAGGAACACCGAUGGCGAAGGCAGCCCC
rnacentral:rRNA from 1 species